GGAGGAAUUAGUUCUACAAACUCAGCUGUCUUGUCUCCUGAAAGACAGUAAGUAGGCCUAAUUGUACCUGGGAGCUUUACAAAUCUGAGGAUAGAGUCAGCAACAACUAACACCUCAGAGUUUCUUUGUAAAUUGCCACCUCCGGCGGGUUGGGCCAGUCUAAUGAGCUGUGCAGGUGCGCUGACUGAUUGAUUUUCUGAGCUACAGCAGGUGUGGAGGAAAGCUCAGUAACAGGUGGUUGUGAUGAGGAAGACACUGGAGCUAGGAACAGGAACGUCCUCUACUGGAAGAGAUCUUCAAUGAGCCAAAGGCCCAGAGAAACCUUGCCUGCUGCGGAUGGAUCAGCUCAGAGCAAAGAUCCUGAAUGCUGCCCCAUCAAAGGUGCACCAUCACAUACACGGCGAUGGAGCAGAUGACAGCACUGAUCAGGAUGAGUGGCUGCGAUGCACACACAUAAACACACAACGUAAAUGCUCCCAAACGCAUGAAGGACAAGGAACACUGAUCUACACACUGUAUGAUGUCCGCUUCUGAAACAACGAUUUGACUGCGCUCAGCGGGUGUCAGGUUCUCUUGUCCUUCAAGCCGAUCAGGACCUGCUUUUGCCGCGCACGAAGACAGCCGAUGUCACUCGGUAGCCGGGCCAGAGUGGCAGCUCCUCUCCCCGGGCCCCUGACAGGCCUGCAGUGCCUCAUGAUGGAUGAGCACUGUCCAUUAGCUGGCUUCACCUCUGACCAGUGCCAGACUACAGCUGACGCCUGCUCUACUCCCCGCUCAGCUCGGCUCUGCACGCCCCUCUAACCCCUCACUCACCGAGAAGGCUGCUGGAAUUAAGCCAUCACAGCACCAAAGGGAAAACCAGUUGGUCAUGAGAAGGGGGGAGGGGGGGGGGGGGGAGAGUGGAAAAAUGAGGUGAAGUGGAGGAUUUCUUUUUCCCAACCUUUAUCUCAUCUCCAGUGCAGCAAUGACAUUGUCAAAAGAUGAGAGAGUGUUUCUUUGGCCUGUUCCACCUUGUGUCAUCACCAUUACACUAGCCUUCAACACUUACUUUGUUAAAGGAUCUAAUAAGGCUCUUGAAAGUUGAAUUCAUAAUACUUAAGAUGAGGAGUGAUGCCAACAAUUUACAUUUUGAUGUCAGGGGAGCUGGCAGGCAUGUGUGAUGAAUAUACUGUACCAUUUCAUUUACCAACGUAUGCCUACUUGAAAUGCCAAAAUUGUGCAUCUACUGAAACUCAAUGCUAAAUUUACCCCCCUUUCCUCUAUUGGGGAGGCGUUUAACCUCACAGUCUGGGAUUAGAUAGUCUUUUAUGGUGACUAAUGAUAUGUCUGAAAAAUUAAUAGUUUUUUUUUUGUUGCCAUAAAAUUGAAUAUUUGAAAAUAACGGAGUAGUAGAGUCAUAACCACCAAAGAAGUGAAAGAAAACUCGCUACAUUCUGGGGGUACUACCUUCUAAAGUUUUCAAAGGUCCAUCUUUCAACUCUGACUCACUUCACUUGCUCACCUCUUUCCGUCAUCCUGAAGUUUCUACCAGUGCAACAACAUGCAAUUAUUACCUGGUGGGCGCAGCAUCUCUAUGUACUUUGUGUGAAACUUCUCUCUUACUUUCUUUUUUUAAAAUUCCGACUAUGACUCGGUUACGGCAUCCAAACACAGGAAAUCGAAAUUAUAAAUAUAUGUUGCAAAAUGUAUGUAAGCGAUUUUGAAAAACACUCCAACACAGCGAGUGUAAAAAGUGUGUU